UUUACAAAAGAGUUGAUUGAUAACAUAUCCCAAUAGCUAUAAAAUAUAAGAUAAUAAUUUGUGCCGAUCGAAGGUCAGACUUUCUAAUAUCAACAAAUACCAGCAUGACGCGGGAGGCUGCAGCCGCGAGCGGAGGAAUAAUUUCUGCUUUCUGGAUUGGUAACUGAUCGGGCACCACCCUCUAAUGUUCUUCCAUGGGACCAUGGGAGCCCCCUCCAAUGAAGUAAUUUGUCCUGCUGCUAGGCAACAAAGGCCUUAUAGCUGCUAGAUGUCAUUAGUGGGAUUCGAAUCGAUGCCCAGCAAUCUACCACCAUCGUGGCAGAAUGCAGCGCCUUAAUCCGCGUGACCACUAAGGACACUAAGAGUGAGUGAAAUAAACCAUUGUGUUACUUUGUUUUAGGUACAGUACAGUAGCUCUGUUCAUUUAUAUCAUUAAAUAUUUGUGUGGUAUUUAUUCAUUAUUUUAUUUUAUUAUUUAUGUCUUUGUACAAUUGAAUUUAUAAUUAUUUUUGUGAGCUGAUAAAGUUGAAAUUUGGAAGUGUUAUUUGUUUUUAUUGAUCUUGCAUUACAAUUUAAUGUUCCACAUUACCGUUGCAUUUUUUGUUAAACCAAAAAUAAUUAAACAUGACACAUUUACAGUAAGAACAUUGUCUACCUGUUUAUUUACUUAGGGUGUCCCCAAAUACAGUACAAUUUCGCUUAGGGCCCCAUGGAGGCUUGGGCCAGCCUUGUACUAUGUGACAUGACUCUUUAUGCAAGGUGUGUGUCUGUACUCUAUUAAUGCUAUUAUCACGAAAAGUAGCACAUUGAUAUAAAAAAAAUAUACAUCAAUCAAUGGAA